rnacentral:misc_RNA from 1 species
GAUGAAGAACGCAGCGAAAUGCGAUAAGUAAUGUGAAUUGCAGAAUUCAGUGAAUCAUCGAAUCUUUGAACGCACAUUGCGCCCGCCAGUAUUCUGGCGGGCAUGUCUGUUCGAGCGUCAUUACAACCCUCAGGCCCCCGGGCCUGGCGUUGGGGAUCGGCGGAGCCCCCCGUGGGCACACGCCGUCCCCCAAAUGCAGUGGCGGUCCCGCCGCAGCUUCCAUCGCGUAGUAGCUAACACCUCGCGACUGGAGAGCGGCGCGGCCACGCCGUAAAACACCCAACUCUUCUGAAGUUGACCUCGAAUCAGGUAGGAAUACCCGCUGAACUUAAGCAUAUCAAUAAGCGGAGGA